AUUUACUUAGUUUAAUUAGAACAAGGGUUUGUGGUAUCCUAAGUACACUAGUAGUAAAUA
rnacentral:tRNA from 1 species